UGGAAGUGUGCUGGAUGCUUAUUAAACCUUGU
rnacentral:piRNA from 1 species